rnacentral:rRNA from 1 species
UUCGAUGCAACGCGAAGAACCUUACCUGGUCUUGACAUAUCUAGAAUCCUGCAGAGAUGCGGGAGUGCCUUCGGGGAAUUAGAAUACAGGUGCUGCAUGGCUGUCGUCAGCUCGUGUCGUGAGAUGUUGGGUUAAGUCCCGCAACGAGCGCAACCCUUGUCCUUAGUUACCAGCGGGUUAAGCCGGGAACUCUAAGGAUACUGCCAGUGACAAACUGGAGGAAGGCGGGGAACGACGUCAAGUCAUCAUGGCCCUUACGACCAGGGCUACACACGUGCUACAAUGGUAGGUACAGAGGGCAGCUACACAGCGAUGUGAUGCGAAUCUCAAAAAGCCUAUCGUAGUCCAGAUUGGAGUCUGCAACUCGACUCCAUGAAGUAGGAAUCGCUAGUAAUCGCGGAUCAGAAUGCCGCGGUGAAUACGUUCCCGGGCCUUGUACACACCGCCCGUCACACCAUGGGAGUUGAUUGCACCAGAAGUGGAUAGCUUAACCUUCGGGGAGGCGUUCACCACGGUGUGGUUGAUGACUGGGGUGAAGUCGUAACAAGGUA